UACGUAGGGGGCAAGCGUUGUCCGGAAUCAUUGGGCGUAAAGAGCGUGUAGGCGGCUUGGUAAGUCCGCUGUGAAAGUCCAGGGCUCAACCCUGGAAAGCCGGUGGAAACUGUCAAGCUUGAGUCCGGAAGAGGCGAGUGGAAUUCCUGGUGUAGCGAUGAAAUGCGCAGAUAUCAGGAGGAACACCAAUGGCGAAGGCAGCUCGCUGGGACGGUACUGACGCUGAGACGCGAAAGCGUGGGGAGCAAACAGG
rnacentral:rRNA from 1 species